rnacentral:misc_RNA from 1 species
GUUGCUCAUCUGGCUGUACACUGCAGCAAAGAUUAUGCCAGUGGCCCAUAUUGGGAGCAACCGGAUGAUGGAUUUUAGCUCUUCAACUUGGGUUACGGUGCUAAGUCUCCAUGGGUUUACAGAAUCCUUUACAUUAUCUUUUUCCGUUUCCACUGAUGCCUUGUCAAAGAAACUGAAAUCUUUGGUGUGCUCAACCUUGCGGCUUCCUUUGAUGUUGGAUUCAGCAUCUGCUGUCUCAUACAGAAGAGACUUGUCAGCAGGCACUUCAACUUUGUAUUUCCUGAUGGAUGCUACUAUCACCUGGCAGAGACGUGUGAGAGGGCUGCCUCCUGGCUUUUGGUACCUGUACAGCCGAGUACCUGAAAAGAAGCUCACAACUGCAAUUGCCAUGGCAAUUGCAGGAAUG